UACGAAGGGGGCUAGCGUUGCUCGGAAUUACUGGGCGUAAAGGGCGCGUAGGCGGAUAGUUUAGUCAGAGGUGAAAGCCCAGGGCUCAACCUUGGAAUUGCCUUUGAUACUGGCUAUCUUGAGUUCGGAAGAGGUAAGUGGAAUGCCGAGUGUAGAGGUGAAAUUCGUAGAUAUUCGGCGGAACACCAGUGGCGAAGGCGACUUACUGGUCCGAUACUGACGCUGAGGCGCGAAAGCGUGGGGAGCAAACAGG
rnacentral:rRNA from 1 species